rnacentral:rRNA from 1 species
CACGUAGGGCGCAAGCGUUGUCCGGAAUUAUUGGGCGUAAAGGGCGCGUAGGCGGCCAGCACAAGUCAGUUGUGAAAUCUCCGAGCUUAACUCGGAAAGGUCAACUGAUACUGUGCGGCUAGAGUGCGGAAGGGGCAACUGGAAUUCUUGGUGUAGCGGUGAAAUGCGUAGAUAUCAAGAGGAACACCUGCGGCGAAGGCGGGUUGCUGGGCCGACACUGACGCUGAUGCGCGAAAGCUAGGGGAGCGAACGGG